rnacentral:rRNA from 1 species
GACGGAGGAUGCAAGUGUUAUCCGGAAUCACUGGGCGUAAAGCGUCUGUAGGUGGUUCGAAAAGUCCACUGUUAAAAAUUGAGGCUUAACUUCAAAGAUGCCGUAGAAACUUUUAAACUAGAGUAUGAUAGGGGUAGAGGGAAUUUCCAGUGGAGCGGUGAAAUGUGUAGAUAUUGGAAAGACCACCAAUGGCGAAGGCACUCUACUGGGCCAUUACUGACACUGAGAGACGAAAGCUAGGGGAGCAAAUGGG